rnacentral:rRNA from 1 species
UACGUAGGGUGCGAGCGUUAAUCGGAAUUACUGGGCGUAAAGCGUGCGCAGGCGGUUGGCCAAGUCAGCUGUGAAAGCCCCGGGCUUAACCUGGGAAUGGCGGUUGAAACUGGCGAACUGGAGUGUGGCAGAGGGGGGUGGAAUUCCGCGUGUAGCAGUGAAAUGCGUAGAGAUGCGGAGGAACACCGAUGGCGAAGGCAGCCCCCUGGGCUAACACUGACGCUCAGGCACGAAAGCGUGGGGAGCAAACAGG